GGUUUGGAAGUCAUGGCGCUUGGUUUGACUGAGUGAACGUCUCAGCUUCAACACAAGUGCUUGAUUUAAAGGGAUGAGUUUACACAUCAGGUGACGUUCCACUUAGGAGAACACUGGCGACCUCAGAGGCCUGAUCUGCACCAAGACGUUGGUGCUGCUGAAGAUGUGAAACGUUUGCAGCUUUUAUCUGAUGAGAAUCUGCUUUCGCUCGUCAUGGUUUGUGGAUUCUGAAAUACAUUUGUCUGCAUGUAGUCUGAAAAGAUCAUACAUGUCAAAGCUCGUCAUAUGAUGAAU